rnacentral:tRNA from 1 species
CCUGGUAGCUCAGUCAGUAAAGAAUCUGCCUGCAGUGCAGGAGACCCAGGUUCAAUCCCUGGGUCAGGA